UUGGGUGACAAACUGGAUUUAAAAAAAACAAAAACAGCAGGUUUUGUUUAAUUGCACACAUCCCGACACCUCCUUAAAACUGUGGGAGAUGAGGAGGGUGGGCCUGGGGCCGGUGGGCUGGACGCUGCAGCCAGAGGCCAGCGGUCCUGGUCCGCGGCUCGUGGCCGCUCUCGUCCAGGAGCCUCUUCUGGUAAUGUAUUCUGAAACCAAAUUACGGAGGAAAUUGGAUAGGCUCGUUAGCGCAGACGAGCGGCUCUGCCAGGGCUGGAGGCUGAUGGAACGUUCAGGAGCACACACCAGCCACAUCUCCAUCCAGCGCCGCUCAGGCCGCGUCCCGGCCGGCGCAGGGAACGAAGAAGUAGAAAAGCAGGCUGAGCGUCCGGGCUGGAAUGCCAAUAGGAGACACAGGAAGCACGCGGUUUGCAUCAGACCUGGGCUGUGGGAUGUGUUCACCUUAAAUAUCUAAAAAUCACCAGUUUGCCUACAGACGAGAGCAGAUGAAACUCCAUCAUCUGAGCUGCAGGUGGAGGCGACGCCCGCGGGUCAGUCUACAAACUGUCUACUCGUGAUUCCACAUCAGUGCUGUGCUAAUUACAUGGACUGAUCCAUGUGAUCUUCUGCAGCAUGCAUCACGGCCACAUCCAGCUUCAAAUACCACUCUACGAUAAGAGCGCAGCUCAACCAGAGACACGACAUAAACUUAAUGUGAACAUGUGAAAUUAGGAAAUGA